CCAUGCAUGUCUAAGUAUAAGCUUUUAUACGGUGAAACUGCGAAUGGCUCAUUAAAACAGUUAUAGUUUAUUUGAUGGUCUCUUUUACAUGGAUAACCAUGGUAAUUCUAUGGCUAAUACAUGCGCACAGGCCUCCUUCUUUGGAGGGGCCGUGUUUAUUAGAUACAAAACCAACCCACUUUGUGGAGCCUUGGUGAUUCAUAGUAACCGAACGGAUCGCACUUGGCUUUUGCCGGCGAUAGAUCAUUCAAGUUUCUGACCUAUCAGCUUUCGACGGUAGGGUAUUGGCCUACCGUGGCAUUAACGGGUAACGGGGAAUUAGGGUUCGAUUCCGGAGAGGGAGCCUGAGAAACGGCUACCACAUCUAAGGAAGGCAGCAGGCGCGCAAAUUACCCAAUGAAAACAGUUUCGAGGUAGUGACGAGAAAUAACAAUACAGGGCAUUUAAUGCUUUGUAAUUGGAAUGAUAGGAAUUUAAAAUCCUUCCAGAGUAACAAUUGGAGGGCAAGUCUGGUGCCAGCAGCCGCGGUAAUUCCAGCUCCAAUAGUGUAUAUUAGAGUUGUUGCAGUUAAAAAGCUCGUAGUUGGAUUUCUGUCGUGGUCAUCCGGCCUGCCCGUAGGGUGCGCGCCUGGGUU
rnacentral:rRNA from 1 species